UAUUAAAUUGAUACAUUUUUACAGCCGUUUAAUUUAGCGGCCAUACGAAAGGGUAGUGAAUUGGAACAAUGCACAAGGGUUAAACAAGUCCCAAACCCAAAUUGUUUUGAGAAAAAUAAUUUAAAUCAUCCAGAGAUGUGCUGCUGAUGAAGUUCACUAUAGACCCAGGACCCUAUAGAGUUUUCAUCACUUUGAAAUGAUUUAAACACACGUUGCAUUUCUCGAGCCGCUCCGAUGUCUUCACUUCAUUAAUGAGAUGAAUAAUAAACACAGUAGGUGUGAGUCUGUUGACUGGAUCUGCUCUUUUCAAACACACUGAUGUGAUACAAAGGAACAGCGCCCUUUACGUUGACAUUUAAUGCUGAUUAUCUGCUUUAUUUGAACACUCAUACGGGCUGUCAGGAUUCAUCGUGUCAUCCUUUCAAACACGCUGACCGCUAACUAUGAGCUAUUACAGUCAAUUUAAACCUUAAUAAGCCGAUGAACACGUUAUUGAAUAAAAUGCAGCCACGGCGUUUUUUUUCUGCAUGUAACGCGAGGUGGAAUCAAACCGUGUAGUAAUUGAAAAGAGCAGCCAGAUGUAUGUGUGGAGCGGCUCAUUCAUUUCACUUGGACACUCUGUGAUUUGAGAAAACAAUUUGAAGUCUUUGGUUAACCACCGUAAGCACACAGUACAUGUAUAAUUUACUUAAGGGGGAAACAUGGUUUCCCUCUGAAAAAUGAAUUUGAGCAGAGAGGAGUGCAACAGAGCUGCGUCACAGUUCUCCUUUAUGAGAAGCGGAUAAAUGUGUUUAGAGUUACAAAUGUGUGAAAAAAUUGUCUAUCAAACUUUAUGUUUACCAGCGUUGUGUUUUACAAAAUUCAAAACUAUGAACAAUGUGUGAAGUUGUGACAAGGAGUUGCUUUCACAGUAUAAUGAUGAUGAUGUCAUGUAAUGAGUUAUGUUUAAUUCAUGUAAACCUGACCUGUCUGCUGGUGUUACCCUUCAGGUGUCUCUGUCCAGACUGAAACCUCAGACGUAUAGAAUGAGCGCUGGAUUGUUUGUGAGGCAGCGCAGUGGAGGGUCCUUGUUUCAGAGCGGUACCGAGCCAGCGAGAGUUUCCUGUAGGCUCAGGAAGUCGGGCUCUCUGAAACGAGAUGUGUGUGUGCUUUUUUGUUUCGGAGACCGCAAAGGUCCCGCUGAGACCGGUGAAGACGUAAAAGAAGAAACUUUAGGUGAGGAAGCGUUUAUAAGAUGACUGCGUUUCUGAGUUAAAAGCUGUUUGUUUUUAGGCCCUGAGAGCGGGCUGAGCUGUACCUGAGGGAUUGGCACUGUGCUGAGAAAGGUGAAAUCUAAGAGGAACCUGAAGUUGGUGCCAGAUUAUUAACUGUAGGUAAUUGAACUACCCAAACGGCCACAUCUGGGAUUCAUCUGAACUGAUCCGAGUUUCUGGACAGAUGCUUUGUUCAUGUUGAUCAGCUCCAAAUCAAUGACAGGCGGCGGCCACAGAUGAACCGAACUCUCAGUGUUGAGAGGAAAAUGAAAGAAGAGAAGCGCACCCAGCCUGAGGCAUCGGCCAGCAGCCAGUGUAGGGUCACGAACACCCACAUACCACCCUUCAGCCACAAUCUACUACUGUCUCAUUAACCAACGGAUCAUUUCAUAAAUGAAAACAUAGAUUUACAUAUUUACUUUUUCUUAAGUUAGAAAAGGCUGACUUGCUAUGCUGAGUGCCAUUGGAAGUGGAGUCACCGUGCCAGCAAUCGUAUAACAGUGACAUCAUCAUCACGUAAAAGAAACAUUACUCCACCCAGCUCAUACACCGUACUAAUGAAGCUCAUCUUCUCCUCUCCUGAAUCACUGACUCCAUCAAAGAGGAGAAAAAAACACAGCUCAAAGUGAGCAUUCAUCUCAGACUCUCCUCCGGUGCAUGACGUCUUUUUUCCAAAAGUUUUCCUUUACAGUCAAGGCUACACAUCAUUACUGCUAGCAAGGCCUUUCUUUCUCCCCCUUUCUCUAAAUUAAAAAAAAAUUAAACAGAAGGAAAGGAAAUGCACAGAUUUGUGGAAGAAUAAUGAACUAUGUCAUCUGACCUAACAGAGAAACCUGAGAGAGAGAAUUUAGAGCUGUCUGACUGGAAACUGUCAUUGGUACUUUAUCGAUUAUGUUACAGAUACAAUGUUUUAUUUCUAUGAAGGUGCUGUUUGUUUAAUUUAUUGUAAAUCCAAAUUGCACAUGUGAAUAAUUAUAUGUUUUGUUUAUUAAACCAUU